UCCUUUUUUUUUUUUUAAUACUGCUGCAUAUUAAAGUAAUUAGGUUAUUAGCCAAAAGCCUUGCUAUUCCUGGGAGUACCAGCCUACCUGGGAUGAAAUACCUCUGAUGUUAGGGCUCUUACUUCUCUUACUCUUACUUCUGACCUGAGCAAAGCUGUAGCAGAAAUGCUAAGUCAUGGCUUGCACCAGUGAUUGAGCACCUGGUGGGAAGGCAGGGCCAACCCAGGGGAGCUCAGGUGCAUGAAAUGAUUGUGAGUGACCAGAAGGGCUGGAGCCAGGAUCCACCCCUUCCUAGACCUCACUUAAGGUCUGGUAGUGGAGGUGAGGAGAUCUUGCUGGAGAUCGCUGGGUACUUGAGGCCUUCUAAAGGAGGAGGACAGGGGGGAAAAAAAAAUGGAAACGGAGAAAGCGAACCCUCAGAAAUUCAAUUAAAGCUGCUGCCGCCUUUAGAAAGCGAGCGAUACUCACUUUGAAUGUGGAUGGAAAUCAGCCAUGGCCUCACCCGAAAUGUGAAGGAUUCGUGGGCUUUGCUGCGAGCCCCUCGCCCAGGGGAGCUGAGAAGAGCCCACCGCUCCCCAUCACUCUCACAUAAUGAGGAUUCCAUUUUUAAAAAUUAAUGACUUUGUGGCCGCAGAGGUCCACGCGGGGCGGAAGGGCUGAUGCUGUUGGGACCACGUUUUUGCCCACAGUCCCCCCGGUGCUUCGGCACAGAUGAGCCGGAGACACUUCACCACUUCCAAUCCUCUUUUAUGGAGCGCGGUACUUGUUGCCAUCUGCUCCCAAAUGCUCAGCGCGAAUCGGCAUUCACUUUUACGGUUUUAAUUAACCUAAUAACAAGCGGUGCGUGCUGGGCUGGGGACAGGCAGGCAGCAGCGCUGCGCUUCUUCCCUUCCAGUUGAAGCCUUUGAUUUUGGGUCAGAACCCAACUCUGAGCGCUGGGUGGAGCUUCAUUCACCCUUCAUUCAGUGCCGAAUGGCCACGGCUAAUUCAGUUAGCCUUGAAUUAAUGAGCUAAACACGAUGUACCACAAAGAUUAUUUUCCUGCUCCCCCUAGAAGCACGCAUGGGCCCCUACACCCCACAGCUAUCCCAUAUCCCACCCUGGGGCUCCAAUCACAUCUUUAUUCCCUCCAUGUCCAAUGGAGCACGGCAGCU